UCUACUUCGGCGGCGGCGGCCGGGGGAGUACGGAGGGUGCGAGUGUGGGCCGGAAUUAUGGGGCGGAAGGAGCUGGUAUGGUGUUGGUCGCGUCUGCUGGGAAAAGCCGGGGCUCAACCCCGGACUUGCGGUGGGUACGGGCAGACUAGAGUAUGGUAGGGGAGACUGGAAUUCCUGGUGUAGCGGUGAAAUGCGCAGAUAUCAGGAGGAACACCGAUGGCGAAGGCAGGUCUCUGGGCCACUACUGACGCUGAGAAGCGAAAGCAUGGGGAGCGAACAGGAUUAGAUACCCGAGUAGUC
rnacentral:rRNA from 1 species